CCUACGGGUGACAGCAGUGAGGAAUAUUGGUCACUGGACGAGAGUCUGAACCAGCCAAGUAGCGUGAAGGAUGACUGCCCUAUGGGUUGUAAACUUCUUUUAUAUGGGAAUAAAAUGUUCCACGUGUGGGAUUUUGUAUGUACCAUAUGAAUAAGGAUCGGCUAACUCCGUGCCAGCAGCCGCGGUCAUACGGAGGAUCCGCGCGUUAUCCGGAUUUAUUGGGUUUAAAGGGAGCGUAGGUGGAUUGUUAAGUCAGUUGUGAAAGUUUGCGGCUCAACCGUAAAAUUGCAGUUGAAACUGGCAGUCUGGAGUACAGUAGAGGUGGGCGGAAUUCGUGGUGUAGCGGUGAAAUGCUUAGAUAUCACGAAGAACUCCGAUUGCGAAGGCAGCUCACUGGACUGCAACUGACACUGAGGCUCGAAAGUGUGGGUAUCAAACAGGAUUAGAUACCCCAGUAGUC
rnacentral:rRNA from 1 species